UUCUUUUGUGUUCCUAAAGUGCUAGUUUAA
rnacentral:piRNA from 1 species